AUGUCCGCUAACAAAUUGAAAACUGUACCUAUACGCCUUAUUUUUAGUCCAGAUGUUUAGUAUUCGUAUUGUUAUCUUAGAAAGUCUAACUGAUUAAAAUACUACAAUUUAGUAGUGUCAAUCCUGUGAUUAUGACCCGUGUAUAUAGCAUAUUAAUCCUGAAUACACCGUUUGGUGGUGCGCCUGUCAGAUGCGGAACGUA
rnacentral:lncRNA from 1 species